AGUAACUGCGAGUGAAGCGGGAAAAGCUCAAAUUUAAAAUCUGGCGGCUUCGGCCGUCCGAGUUGUAGUCUGGAGAAUUGCUUUCCGCGCUGGACCGUGUACAAGUCUCUUGGAACAGAGCGUCAUAGAGGGUGAGAAUCCCGUCUUUGACACGGACUGCCAGUGCUUUGUGAUGCGCUCUCGAAGAGUCGAGUUGUUUGGGAAUGCAGCUCAAAAUGGGUGGUGAAUUCCAUCUAAAGCUAAAUAUUGGCGAGAGACCGAUAGCGAACAAGUACCGUGAGGGAAAUAUGAAAAGCACUUUGGAAAGAGAGUUAAACAGUACGUGAAAUUGCUGAAAGGGAAACGCUUGAAGUCAUUCGCGUCGUCCGAAACUCAGCUUCGCCUCUGCUUGGUGCACUUUCCGUUUGACGGGCCAGCAUCGAUUUUGAACGGUGGAAAAAGGUCUGAGGAACGUGGCACCUUCGGGUGUGUUAUAGCCUCGGGUUGGAUACGUCGGUCGGGAUCGAGGAACUCAGCUCUGCUUAGGAUGCUGGCGUAAUGGCUUUAAACGACCCGUCUUGAAACACGGACCAAGGAGUCUAACAUGCCCGCGAGUGUUUGGGUGGUAAACCCAGGCGCGCAAUGAAAGUGAAAGUCGAGACCUCUGUCGCGGAGGGCAUCGACGCCCGGACCUGACCUUCUGUGACGGCUCCGCGGUAGAGCGUGUAUGUUGGGACCCGAAAGAUGGUGAACUAUGCCUGAAUAGGGUGAAGCCAGAGGAAACUCUGGUGGAGGCUCGUAGCGAUUCUGACGUGCAAAUCGAUCGUCGAAUUUGGG
rnacentral:rRNA from 1 species